UACGUAGGGUGCGAGCGUUAAUCGGAAUUACUGGGCGUAAAGCGUGCGCAGGCGGUUUUGUAAGACAGAGGUGAAAUCCCCGGGCUCAACCUGGGAACUGCCUUUGUGACUGCAAGGCUUGAGUGCGGCAGAGGGGGAUGGAAUUCCGCGUGUAGCAGUGAAAUGCGUAGAUAUGCGGAGGAACACCGAUGGCGAAGGCAAUCCCCUGGGCCUGCACUGACGCUCAUGCACGAAAGCGUGGGGAGCAAACCGG
rnacentral:rRNA from 1 species